UGUGUUGCUGCUGACGAUAGAACGUAAUAGUGCUAGUCCUUCUAAUUAAUACUUUCCGUUGCCUUCGCAGUACUCGCUGACGCGGGUCCUCAUCAUAUAGUUAUAUACAAGGACUCAACAUCACGCUGUUAAUGGUAUCUACUGUCGAUGUCAUGGUUGGUAACGCAGAAAUAGACUAGAUGUCAAGACACUACAUGAAACAUAAACUUAAAGAAAGGAGGAAGACCGGCCAGUAAGGAAAUCGUUAUACGACAUGAGGAGUGUGGCGAGUGACAGAUUGUAAAUUAGUGAACCGCGCGAUGAGAGUGUGUCGAUCCCACAACAUAACAUGACACAGCAUUUGUAUAUUUUGAUGAAUAUAUC